UCUUCUCUCCAUGGGCUAUGAAUAGAGGGAGACUCCGCCAGAGAUUGGAGACCAGAGAGGGGAAGGGAAAAGGGAGAGGGAGACCCACCAUCGGUCCACCAGAUCUCACGCAAGAACAGAGAGGGGAAGGGGAGAGGCCGAGAGGGAGACCCAUUACCAGAUCUCAACAGUCGCGGCGUCGCCGACUCGCCCGUCGUUGCUCCCGUG
rnacentral:lncRNA from 1 species